AUGGGCCUGGUUUUAUUUCCAUUGGACCGGUAUGGAUAACCGUUCAGGCCCAUAUCCGAUUAUGGCGGGGGUUUUUUAUUUUUAUUUUCCCGGAGAAUUGGCGGCAAUUUCGAAGGUUAAUCGACGGGAUGUGUUCACUCUCAUUUCUCACUUCCAAUACCAGUGAUAGAUUUGAAUCUUUUCACAAGACGAUCUCCAACUUCAGGUGUAUGGGAAAUGUACAGGAUCAAAGUCUUCGAUAUGAUCGCUGCUCAUUUUCCGCGAGAUUUUCAUCGCAAAAUCGCAGCUCUAGGUUACGUCGGCUACAACACAAGUCGGAGUUAUCGAUUUCUUGCAUCUGUUAUUUGAGAAGUCGCAGGAAUCCGCGGCCCAUUAAUUUGCAAAACAGGUGGUUGGCAGCGAUUUUAAUUGGCGAAGUAUGUCACAAUGGUAUGCUGUUUGUUUUUCCGCACAGAUUUUUUUAUUGCAUUUCUUGGGUGGGAAUUUUUUUUAUUUUAUUAUUUUUUAUUAUUGCGAUUACAUGUGAACUUAAAUGAUUCUAGUCUACAAUAUUUCCAAAUCAAUUAAGUUGGGCAAACUUUUCUUUGAGAUGAUUAGAUUGUUCUUUUUUUUCUUACGAAUAAUAAGCUAAAAUAAUCACCAAGGGCGAUC